UACGUAGGGGUCUAGCGUUGUCCGGAUUUAUUGGGCGUAAAGAGCUCGUAGGCGGUUUGUCGCGUCUGCUGUGAAAACUCGGGGCUUAACCCCGGGCCUGCAGUGGGUACGGGCAGACUAGAGUGCGGUAGGGGAGACUGGAAUUCCUGGUGUAGCGGUGAAAUGCGCAGAUAUCAGGAGGAACACCGGUGGCGAAGGCGGGUCUCUGGGCCGUAACUGACGCUGAGGAGCGAAAGCGUGGGGAGCGAACAGG
rnacentral:rRNA from 1 species